rnacentral:lncRNA from 1 species
UUGGUGUGGUGAUUCAUACCUCUCUCCAAGAACUGGCUUCAUAUUGUUCCAUUUCACCUUCGAAUCAUGGGUUGAAUAUUGAAAUUGCAAUUUGUCUUCAUCGUCACCUUCACUAUCACUCUGCUUCUCCUGUGGUGCUUCAUCUUCCGACAUUCCUUCCAAAUCAUUUAGGUUUAUCUCAGGUAUGGUGCAUUCGUCAAGCGCUUCGUCUGUGACAGUAUUUAGGAACUCAUCUUUGCAUCGACUUCCUUGUUUGUGUUUGAAAAACUCAUCCAAUUCCACCUCAAUGGUAUCGAAUUCAUCUACUGUCUCCAUUAUCACUACAAAACAAAAAUUAAUCAAAUAUUAUAAGGGAACAAGAUAUUGGAGGACCACGUGGAUUUUCUUACCUUUGAUUCUUCUCUGGUAACAUUUUGCUUCGAUGGAGGGUAAGAAAGGAUUUUUACAGAGGAGGAGUAGAUGACGGGGAGGUUAGCGAAGGGUGAUAAGGAUGAGCAAGCUGGGGUAACCGACUAUUAUAAGGAUUACCGGUUCCUAGGGCUAAACUGAGUGUAAUAGCCGGUAAUUUUGCCUUUUUCAUAAGUGAAAUUUAAUUUAGGACUAAAUCAUAAACUGAGCCAAAAUUUUGGGACUUUUUCGCAGAUUUCCCUAAAUUAAAUGUAGAAGUGCCUAAUUUUAUAUAAAUAACAAUUACAAAUAUAUAUAUAUAUAUAUAUAUAUAUAUAUAUAUAUAUACAUACAUACAUACAUACAUACUUAUACAANAAUUACAAUUUUAAGAAAAUUAUGUUAGAUUCAAGUAAAUUAAUGUUUUAAUUUUUUUUUAAUUAGCUUGACAUUGCCAUCUCGUUAUUCUUUUAGAUUGUAUUUAGUUUUUUUUAAAUAUGGUCCUAGAAGUUUAUUCGUUAACCAACAAUAUUUUGUGUGGGAUCUAAUAUUCAUUAAAGUUUGUGAUUUCAUUGAUAUUAUCGGUUGUCUUUUAUUUCCUUGAUAUAACUCAUAAAUCUUCACCAAUUUGAAUUAUUCUUAUUCCUAUGUAUAAAUUAGGAAAACAGGAAAUAAGUAAUUUAUGUAUGUACUUCUAUGUUCUGUAACUCCUAGCUAUGGAUGAGCAUUUGGACCGGAGAACUAGCCAGAACCAGUACGGAAACCCGAUGGAACCGAUCGGGUUGGAACCAGGACGAUAUUCUUGUGGAUUUUUAGAACCGGGACCCAGUAGGAACCAGACCCGGUAGAACCGGCAAAAACCGGAACCGUAUGUUGCUAUUUCUCGAUGACUGGUUCCAACAUUGAAGACUAAGCAAGAACCGGUAGCACCGGAACCAGUAGAACCGGCUGUCCGGUUCGGUUCUUAAUUUCGGCCGACUUUGGUUCCCGGGUCGGUUCUUUUGCUCAUCCCUACUCCUAGCUAUUUGUGAUCCCAUUUUUCUUAAUUUCAUAUAUAUAACCAAGCUUUAACAAAAAAGAAAUGAAUUUAAUGUAAAGAACCUUUUGCAAACGACAAUGCCUUAAAAAAUAUUGUUAAAAGUAUAUUGGUAAACAAAUUAAUUUCUUAAUGUUGGUAGGCGAUUUCCUAAAGUUUAGUGCUAUUGAUGGUAGGCUGUAUAAAGAAAUUCAUUGCGAUCUCUAGAGGAUUUACUAAAAUCCAUUGCUAGCGUUGGUGGGUUGCUCAAACUUCAAUACUUAUAAUUAGGUGAUUUUUUGUGUCGCUUUUAAUUUCCCUCCCAUAAGCUUGUUAGCUGCUACCAUCUUUGGGGGUUUAUUCGAAGUUCAUUGCCAUUUCGGAAGUUUAUUGCUAUAAUGUGUACUCUUUGGAAGUUUCUGUUGCUAUUGUGUUUGUUGCUUCAGCAGUUAUGGUUGUAGUCUCACUGACUAGCAUAGUUAUCGGCCUCUCGUGUUUCAUUAUAUCAAAGGCUUGAACCGGAAAAAUAAGAACAACUCGAGAUUACACCACAAACUGCACCAAAAUUAACAUUCAAACACUUUAAUAAUUAAAACCAUAGGGACAAUAAUAGCAACACACUUUCAUUCAUUUUUAAAUUAUGUUGUUUAUUUCUUGGAUUUAACCCUAAAAAGGUCUCUAAUUAGAAAAUCUAAAAAGUAUCAACAAAGUUUGUAAUUUUCAUUGCUAUAGUCAAGUAGGUUUUUUCAAAGUAAAAUGGUUUAAUAAGAAAAAAAAACAAAAAAUAACGUUAUUUAACGUGUUCAUAAAUUUUCAAAACUUUAUUUUAAACCCAUAUGUCAAAUUUUAUUUUUUCUUAAAUGCCUUAAUAUAAAAAAUAUUAAAAAAAUCAAUGCUUUAAUAUGAAGAAAUGAAGCUUGGAACAAAAAAUUCCAGUGCCAUAAGCCAUGCUAUAGCAAAUUAUCAUUAGUACCAUAUUGAAUCGAAUGAAAAUGAUCGUAGCUAUGUCUAUGUCGCUUGUUGCCAUAAACCAUGGAACUGCACAUAUUGGGACCUAGACAUCCUUAGAGCAUAAAUAUCUCAACAUAUGUAAAAUUAUAUCAAAACUGUGUUAGAAAGCUCAAAGAAGAAUAUUUUAAAUUGAUAAUAAAUGGUUGUGACAUUAUGAAAAGACCAAUAUGUUGUUUAUUUUACAUAUGUUGAGAUAUUUAUACUCUAAGGAUGUUUAGGUCCCAAUAUGUGGAGUUCCAUGGUUUAUGGCAACAUCAAGACCAUCACCUUCAUCAUUAAUCUUAACAUCUGCUUCCUGUGUUUCUGGUACAUGUUCACUGUCAACAGUAGGUGCUGUUUGGGUGACAAAUUGACUUUCAACAUUAGGUGUUGUUUGGGUGACAAAUUGAGUCUCAAUCCCAGGUUCUUUCAACACUGGUAGACCAUCUUCCACCACCUCUUCCACCUCUUCUACCACCUCUUCCACCACCUCUCCCAAGUCUAGUGCAAUUGGUCAAUUCUGGAUUCAACAUUGGCCUUCCUAUUUUCUUCUUAGGCUUUGGUGUUGGUUUGACUGAGGGACUCUUGCAAGACACUUUACUGUGCCCCAUUUGCAUACAAUUAUGACAUUGGACAGUUCUACCCUUAGAGGAGACUUAGGAGAACCUGUCUUGAUGCUCAGAGACAUGCCUUUUCCUUUUCAUACAAGGCCUUCCUGGCAUCCUUCUUUCAAUAGGUGGUAGUGGUUUGGUGUAAGGUGUUGGUUCCCACAUAUUAUUGUCAUUAACAGGAAGGAUGUUAGACUCAUAAGUAGCUAAAAACUUGUCCUUACCAUACCUUGUGCUGAUGAAUNGUUGAAUAUUGAAAUUGCAAUUUGUCUUCAUCGUCACCUUCACUAUCACUCUGCUUCUCCUGUGGUGCUUCAUCUUCCGACAUUCCUUCCAAAUCAUUUAGGUUUAUCUCAGGUAUGGUGCAUUCGUCAAGCGCUUCGUCUGUGACAGUAUUUAGGAACUCAUCUUUGCAUCGACUUCUUUGUUUGUGUUUGAAAAACUCAUCCAAUUCCACGUCAAUGGUAUCGAAGUCAUCUACUGUCUCCAUUAUCACUACAAAACAAAAAUUAAUCAAAUAUUAUAAGGGAACAAGAUAUUGGAGGACCACGUGGAUUUUCUUACCUUUGAUUCUUCUCUGGUAACAUUUUGCUUCGAUGGAGGGUAAGAAAGGAUUUUUACAGAGGAGGAGUAGAUGACAGGGAGGUUAGCGAAGGGUGAUAAGGAUGAGCCAGCUGGGGUAACCGACUAUUAUAAGGAUUACCGGUUCCUAGGGCUAAACUGAGUGUAAUAGCCGGUAAUUUUGCCUUUUUCAUAAGUGAAAUUUAAUUUAGGACUAAAUCAUAAACUGAGCCAAAAUUUUGGGACUUUUUCGCAGAUUUCCCUAAAUUAAAUGUAGAAGUGCCUAAUUUUAU